rnacentral:rRNA from 1 species
GAUGAAGGCCUUCGGGUCGUAAAACUCUGUCCUCAAGGAAGAUAAUGACGGUACUUGAGGAGGAAGCCCCGGCUAACUACGUGCCAGCAGCCGCGGUAAUACGUAGGGGGCUAGCGUUAUCCGGAUUUACUGGGCGUAAAGGGUGCGUAGGCGGUCUUUCAAGUCAGGAGUGAAAGGCUACGGCUCAACCGUAGUAAGCGCUUGAAACGGGGAGACUUGAGUGCAGGAGCGGAGAGUGGAAUUCCUAGUGUAGCGGUGAAAUGCGGAGAUAUUAGGAGGAACACCAGUUGCGAGGGCGGCUCUCUGGACUGUAACUGACGCUGAGGAACGAAAGCGUGGGGCGCAAACAGGAUUAGAUACCCUGGUGGUCCCCGCUGUAAUCGAGGAGUACUAGGGGUCGGGGGUUACCCCCUUCGGUGCCGCAGCUAACGCAUUAAGUACUCCGCCUGGGAAGUACGCUCGCAAGAGUGAAACUCAAAGGAAUUGACGGGGACCCGAACAAGUAGCGGAGCAUGUGGUUAAAUGCGAAGCAACGCUACAAACCUUACCUAAGCUGGACAUCCCAAGUACAUCUCCUUAAUCGGGGAGUGCCCUGCGGAGACAUCGGUGACAGGUGGUGCAUGGUUGUCGUCAGCUCGUGUCGUGAGAUGUUGGGUUAAGUCCCGCAACGAGCGCAACCCUUGUCUUUAGUUGCCAUCAUUAAGUUGGGCAC